rnacentral:rRNA from 1 species
UACGAAGGGGGCUAGCGUUGUUCGGAAUGACUGGGCGUAAAGGGUGUGUAGGCGGUUAAACACGUCAGAUGUGAAAUCCCGAGGCUCAACCUCGGGUCUGCAGUCGAUACGGGCGGACUGGAGUUCGGCAGGAGAGACUGGAAUUCCUGGUGUAGCGGUGAAAUGCGCAGAUAUCAGGAGGAACACCGGUGGCGAAGGCGGGUCUCUGGGCCGAUACUGACGCUGAGGAGCGAAAGCGUGGGGAGCGAACAGG